rnacentral:lncRNA from 13 species
GGAAGGAGAAGCUCUUAUAGAAAGGAAGAGACAUCGUUCUGAUCCUGAAGUUUUAUCACUUCCCAAGGUGGUGUCAGAAGCAGGAUCCGAAGUGAAGCUUCUAGCAACCCCAGGAAUGCUGAGUGAACACGCAAGGUACCUGCAGGACCCACUUGUGUCCGUUGAUCUCUCAGAGCAGUUCGGGAUCCUAGAGACCCUAUUAAAAGGAUGUAUUUUCAAACAGCAAAACAGCCUCAUACAAUAUAAUGAAUGUGAGAGAGCCAUGAGAAAUUAUAAUCAAUGUGUAGAAUUCAGAAGGUGGAAGGAAUAAUGUCAAGUAGUGAAGCAGAGAGGAAAAAGACAUAACCUUGAAAAGU